rnacentral:rRNA from 2 species
UUGACCUCGGAUCAGGUAGGGAUACCCGCUGAACUUAAGCAUAUCAAUAAGCGGAGGAAAAGAAACCAACCGGGAUUGCCUCAGUAACGGCGAGUGAAGCGGCAAGAGCUCAAAUUUGAAAUCUGGCCCCUCCGGGGUCCGAGUUGUAAUUUGUAGAGGAUGCUUCGGGUGCGGCCCCCGUCUAAGUGCCCUGGAACGGGCCAUCGGAGAGGGUGAGAAUCCCGUCUGGGACGGGGUGUCCGCGUCCAUGUGAAGCUCCUUCGACGAGUCGAGUUGUUUGGGAAUGCAGCUCUAAAUGGGUGGUAAAUUUCAUCUAAAGCUAAAUACUGGCCGGAGACCGAUAGCGCACAAGUAGAGUGAUCGAAAGAUGAAAAGCACUUUGAAAAGAGAGUUAAACAGCACGUGAAAUUGUUGAAAGGGAAGCGCUUGCGACCAGACUCGCUUCCGGGGUUCAGCCGGCUUUCGGGCCGGUGUACUUCCCCGGGGGCGGGCCAGCGUCGGUUUGGGCGGCCGGUCAAAGGCCCCUGGAAUGUAACGCCUCUCGGGGCGCCUUAUAGCCAGGGGUGUCAUGCGGCCAGCCUGGACCGAGGAACGCGCU